AUAGCGUAUAUUAAAGUUGUUGCAGUUAAAAAGCUCGUAGUUGAACUUCAGGCCCGGCGGGGUGGUCUGCCUCACGGUAUGUACUACCCUGCUGGGCCUUACCUCUUGGUGAGCCCGUAUGCCCUUCAUUGGGUGUGUCGGGGAACCAGGACUUUUACCUUGAGAAAAUUAGAGUGUUCAAAGCAGGCUUAUGCUCGAAUACAUUAGCAUGGAAUAAUAAAAUAGGACGUGCGGUUCUAUUUUGUUGGUUUCUAGAGUCGCCGUAAUGAUUAAUAGGGAUAGUUGGGGGCAUUAGUAUUCAGUUGCUAGAGGUGAAAUUCUUGGAUUUACUGAAGACUAACUACUG
rnacentral:rRNA from 1 species